AAUGAAUUGCCUGAUUAAAGGAUUAUCUUGAUAGGAUAAAAUAAGUGAUUCUUUCACAUUCAUUA
rnacentral:tRNA from 1 species